AGUAACACGUAAACAACCUGCCUUCAGGGUGGGGACAACAGACGGAAACGACUGCUAAUACCGAAUAAGUUCCAAGGGCCGCAUGGCCCAUGGAAGAAAAGGUGGCCUCUACCUGUAAGCUAUCGCCUGAAGAGGGGUUUGCGUCUGAUUAGCUGGUUGGAGGGGUAACGGCCCACCAAGGCGACGAUCAGUAGCCGGUCUGAGAGGAUGAACGGCCACACUGGAACUGAGACACGGUCCAG
rnacentral:rRNA from 1 species